rnacentral:rRNA from 1 species
UAGAGUUUGAUUCCUGGCUCAGGACGAACGCUGGCGGCGUGCCUAACACAUGCAAGUCAAGGGGAAAGUCACUUUCGGGUGAUGAGUAUACUGGCGGACGGGUGAGUAACGCGUAGGUAACCUGCCCUUAUGUUUGGGAUAACCUUGCGAAAGCGGGGCUAAUACCGGAUGGGGUUCUGGUGGUGCAUGCCACGGGGAUUAAAGUUGCUUGGGGUGACUCAGGUAACGCAUAAGGAUGGGCCUGCGUUCCAUUAGCUAGUUGGUGAGGCAACGGCUUACCAAGGCGACGAUGGAUAGCUGGUCUGAGAGGACGACCAGCCACACUGGGACUGAGAUACGGCCCAGACUCCUACGGGAGGCAGCAGUGGGGAAUAUUGCGCAAUGCCCGCAAGGGUGACGCAGCGACGCCGCGUGGGUGAAGAAGCUCUACGGAGUGUAAAGCCCUGUCAGAGGGGAAGAACGGCUUGGAUUCGUAAGGGUUCAGGUGGACGUACCUCAGAGGAGUCCGCA